rnacentral:rRNA from 1 species
GAUGAACGCUGGCGGCGUGCCUAAUACAUGCAAGUCGAGCGAACGGACGAGAAGCUUGCUUCUCUGAUGUUAGCGGCUGACGUGUGAGUAACACGUGGAUAACCUACCUAUAAGACUGGGAUAACUUCGGGAAACCGGAGCUAAUACCGGAUGAUAUUUUUAACCGCAUGGUUCAAAAGUGAAAGACGGUCUUGCUGUCACUUAUAGAUGGAUCCGCGCUUCAUUAGCUAGUUGGUAAGGUAACGGCUUACCAAGGCAACGAUGCAUAGCCGACCUGAGAGGGUGAUCGGCCACACUGGAACUGAGACACGGUCCAGACUCCUACGGGAGGCAGCAGUAGGGAAUAUUCCGCAAUGGGCGAAAGCCUGACGGAGCAACGCCGCGUGAGUGAUGAAGGUCUUCGGAUCGUAAAACUCUGUUAUUAGGGAAGAACAUAUGUGUAAGUAACUGUGCACAUCUUGACGGUACCUAAUCAGAAAGCCACGGCUAACUACGUG